AACGAACGCUGGCGGCAGGCCUAACACAUGCAAGUCGAGCGAGGACUUCGGUUCUAGCGGCGGACGGGUGAGUAACGCGUGGGAAUGUGCCCUUCUCUACGGAAUAGCCCUGGGAAACUGGGAGUAAUACCGUAUACGCCCUAUUGGGGAAAGAUUUAUCGGAGAAGGAUCAGCCCGCGUUGGAUUAGGUAGUUGGUGGGGUAAUGGCCUACCAAGCCGACGAUCCAUAGCUGGUUUGAGAGGAUGAUCAGCCACACUGGGACUGAGACACGGCCCAGACUCCUACGGGAGGCAGCAGUGGGGAAUCUUAGACAAUGGGGGCAACCCUGAUCUGGCCAUGCCGCGUGAGUGAUGAAGGCCUUAGGGUUGUAAAGCUCUUUCAGCUGGGAAGAUAAUGACGGUACCAGCAGAAGAAGCCCCGGCUAACUCCGUG
rnacentral:rRNA from 1 species